rnacentral:rRNA from 1 species
UACGUAGGGUGCAAGCGUUGUCCGGAAUUACUGGGCUUAAAGGGUGCGUAGGCGGCUUUGUAAGUCCUUGGUGAAAUUUUGUAGCUUAACUAUAAACAUGCCAAUGAUACUGUGAGACUAGAGUGAAAUUGAGGUACGUGGAACUAGUGGUGUAGCGGUGAAAUGCAUAGAGAUCACUCAGAACACCAGUUGCGAAGGCAGAGUACUGAAUUUUAACUGACGCUGAGGCACGAAAGUGUGGGGAGCAAACAGG